UGGAUGACACAUGUCAUUUAUUUGAAAGGGGCAAUUGCUCCACUACAAGAUGGACCUGCGUUGUAUUAGCUAGUAGGUGAGGUAACGGCUCACCUAGGCGACGAUACAUAGCCGACCUGAGAGGGUGAUCGGCCACACUGGGACUGAGACACGGCCCAGACUCCUACGGGAGGCAGCAGUAGGGAAUCUUCGGCAAUGGGGGCAACCCUGACCGAGCAACGCCGCGUGAGUGAAGAAGGUUUUCGGAUCGUAAAGCUCUGUUGUAAGUCAAGAACGAGUGUGAGAGUGGAAAGUUCACACUGUGACGGUAGCUUACCAGAAAGGGACGGCUAACUACGUGCCAGCAGCCGCGGUAAUACGUAGGUCCCGAGCGUUGUCCGGAUUUAUUGGGCGUAAAGCGAGCGCAGGCGGUUUGAUAAGUCUGAAGUUAAAGGCUGUGGCUCAACCAUAGUUCGCUUUGGAAACUGUCAAACUUGAGUGCAGAAGGGGAGAGUGGAAUUCCAUGUGUAGCGGUGAAAUGCGUAGAUAUAUGGAGGAACACCGGUGGCGAAAGCGGCUCUCUGGUCUGUAACUGACGCUGAGGCUCGAAAGCGUGGGGAGCGAACAGGAUUAGAUACCCUGGUA
rnacentral:rRNA from 1 species